rnacentral:rRNA from 1 species
UGGGGAAUUUUCCGCAAUGGGCGAAAGCCUGACGGAGCAACGCCGCGUGGGGGAGGAAGGCUUUUGGGUUGUAAACCCCUUUUCUCAGGGAAGAAGCCCUGACGGUACCUGAGGAAUCAGCAUCGGCUAACUCCGUGCCAGCAGCCGCGGUAAUACGGAGGGGGCAAGCGUUGUUCGGAAUUACUGGGCGUAAAGGGCGCGUAGGCGGCACAUCAAGUCAGAGGUGAAAGCCCCGGGCUCAACCUGGGAACUGCCUUUGAAACUGAUGAGCUAGAGUCCGGAAGAGGAUAGCGGAAUUCCCAGUGUAGAGGUGAAAUUCGUAGAUAUUGGGAAGAACACCAGUGGCGAAGGCGGCUAUCUGGUCCGGUACUGACGCUGAGGCGCGAAAGCGUGGGGAGCAAACAGGAUUAGAUACCCCUGUAGUCC